rnacentral:lncRNA from 1 species
CAUGGGGUGGCAUGGGGUGACAUUGGGUGGCGUGGGGAUGGCAUGGGGGUGACACAGGGUCACACAGGGUGGCAUGGGGUGGCAUGGGGGUGCCAUAGGAUGACAUGGGGUGGCAUGGUGUGGCAUGGGGGUGGCAUGAGGUGCCAUAGGGUGACACAAGGUGGCAUGGGGUGCCAUGGGGGUGACACAGGGUGGCACAGGGUGCCAUGGGGUAACAUGGGGGUGGCAUGGGGGUGCCAUAGGGUGACACAGGGUGGCACGGGGGUGGCAUGGGGGUGGCAUAAGGGAAACACAGGGUGGCAUGGGGUGACAUGGGGUGGCAUGGGGUGACGCAGGGUGCCAUGGGGUGGCAUGGGGGUGCCAUAGGAUGACAUGGGGUGGCAUAGGGUGGCACAGGGUGGCACGGGGUGGCAGUAGGGUGGCAGUAGGGUGGCAGUAGGGUGGCGCUGACCUUGGCGGCGCGGCCCGGCUCCAUGUCCGGCCCCUUGCAGCCCUCGUGUUCCUUCUCACGGCUCUUCUUGUGCCGGUAGCGGAUCUCCAGGCUGGGGUCCUUCU